AGGACGAACGCUGGCGGCGUGCUUAACACAUGCAAGUCGAACGGGGAUUAGUUGAUUGAGAGCUUCGGCAGGAUAUCGAUUAAUUCGAGUGGCGGACGGGUGAGUAACGCGUGAGCAACCUGUCCCAGACAGGGGGAUAACACUUGGAAACAGGUGCUAAUACCGCAUAAGACCACGGGAUCACAUGGUUCUGGGGUAAAAGGAGCAAUCCGGUUUGGGGUGGGCUCGCGUCCGAUUAGCCAGUUGGCGGGUAACGGCCCACCAAAGCGACGAUCGGUAGCCGACCUGAGAGGGUGAACGGCCACAUUGGAACUGAGAGACGGUCCAAACUCCUACGGGAGGCAGCAGUGGGGAAUAUUGGGCAAUGGGCGAAAGCCUGACCCAAGCAACGCCGCGUGAGUGAAGAAGGCCUUCGGGCUGUAAAGCUCUGUUAUAGUUGACGAAGGAAGUGACGGUAGGCUAUAAGGAAGCCCCGGCUAACUACGUGCCAGCAGCCGC
rnacentral:rRNA from 1 species